rnacentral:rRNA from 1 species
GAUGAACGCUGGCGGCGUGCCUAAUACGUGCAAGUCGAGCGAACGGACGAGAAGCUUGCUUUUCUGAUGUUAGCGGCGGACGGGUGAGUAACACGUGGAUAACCUACCUAUAAGACUGGGAUAACUUCGGGAAACCGGAGCUAAUACCGGAUAAUAUUUUGAACCGCAUGGUUCAAAAGUGAAAGACGGUCUUGCUGUCACUUAUAGAUGGAUCCGCGCUGCAUUAGCUAGUUGGUAAGGUAACGGCUUACCAAGGCAACGAUGCAUAUCCGACCUGAGAGGGUGAUCGGCCACACUGGAACUGAGACACGGUCCAGACUCCUACGGGAGGCAGCAGUAGGGAAUCUUCCGCAAUGGGCGAAAGCCUGACGGAGCAACGCCGCGUGAGUGAUGAAGGUCUUCGGAUCGUAAAACUCUGUUAUUAGGGAAGAACAUAUGUGUAAGUAACUGUGCACAUCUUGACGGUACCUAAUCAGAAAGCCACGACUAACUACGUG